rnacentral:rRNA from 1 species
AACCUGGUUGAUCCUGCCAGUAGUCAUAUGCUUGUCUCAAAGAUUAAGCCAUGCAUGUCUAAGUAUAAGCCUUUACACGGUGAAACUGCGAAUGGCUCAUUAAAACAGUUAUCGUCUCCUUGACAGUUCAUACUACAUGGAUACCUAUGGUAAUUCUAGAGCUAAUACAUGCCUACAGACCCGACUUCGGAAGGGUUGUGCUUAUUAGAUACUACACCAACUGUCUUCGGACAGUUUUGUUGACUCAUAGUACCCAGCGAAUCGCAUGCUCCGGCGGCGAUGUGUCAUCCGAGUUUCUGACCUAUCAGCUUUCGACGGUAGGGUAUUGGCCUACCGUUGCUUUGACGGGUAACGGAGAAUUAGGGUUCGAUUCCGGAGAGGGAGCCUGAGAAACGGCUACCACAUCUAAGGAAGGCAGCAGGCGCGCAAAUUACCCAAUCCUGACUCAGGGAGGUAGUGACAAGAAAUAACAAUACUGGACCUUUCAGGUUUAGUAAUUGGAAUGAGAACAAUUUAAAACCCUUAUCGAGUAUCAAUUGGAGGGCAAGUCUGGUGCCAGCAGCCGCGGUAAUUCCAGCUCCAAUAGC